UCCUAAUUGGCAGAAUAAUGCAAUAGGUUUAGAACCUAUCACCCCGUUA
rnacentral:tRNA from 1 species